CCCUGGCUCAGAGUGAACGCUGGCGGCAGGCCUAACACAUGCAAGUCGAACGGCAGCACAGCAGUAGCAAUACUGUGGGUGGCGAGUGGCGGACGGGUGAGGAAUGCAUCGGAAUCUGCCUAUUUGUGGGGGAUAACGUAGGGAAACUUACGCUAAUACCGCAUACGUCCUACGGGAGAAAGUGGGGGACCUUCGGGCCUCACGCAGAUAGAUGAGCCGAUGCCGGAUUAGCUAGUUGGCGGGGUAAAGGCCCACCAAGGCGACGAUCCGUAGCUGGUCUGAGAGGAUGAUCAGCCACACUGGAACUGAGACACGGUCCAGACUCCUACGGGAGGCAGCAGUGGGGAAUAUUGGACAAUGGGCGCAAGCCUGAUCCAGCCAUGCCGCGUGUGUGAAGAAGGCCUUCGGGUUGUAAAGCACUUUUGUCCGGAAAGAAAAGCUUCGGGUUAAUAACCCGGAGUUAUGACGGUACCGGAAGAAUAAGCACCGGCUA
rnacentral:rRNA from 1 species